UCAGGCCUAACACAUGCAAGUCGAACGAUGAAGCUGGAGCUUGCUCCGGUGGAUUAGUGGCGAACGGGUGAGUAACACGUGAGCAAUCUGCCCUUGACUCUGGGAUAACUCCGAGAAAUCGGUGCUAAUACCGGAUAUGACCCUGAAAGGCAUCUUUCGGGGUGGAAAGUUUUUCGGUCAAGGAUGAGCUCGCGGCCUAUCAGCUUGUUGGUGAGGUAACGGCUCACCAAGGCAACGACGGGUAGCCGGCCUGAGAGGGUGACCGGCCACACUGGGACUGAGACACGGCCCAGACUCCUACGGGAGGCAGCAGUGGGGAAUAUUGCACAAUGGGCGAAAGCCUGAUGCAGCAACGCCGCGUGAGGGACGAAGGACGUCGGGUUGUAAACCUCUUUUAGUAGGGAAGAAGCGAAA
rnacentral:rRNA from 1 species